rnacentral:rRNA from 1 species
AUUGAACGCUGGCGGCAGGCCUAACACAUGCAAGUCGCACGAGUGGCGGACGGGUGAGUAAUGUCUGGGAAACUGCCUGAUGGAGGGGGAUAAAUACUGGAAACCGUAGCUAAUACCGCAUCCCAUCAGAUGUCCCUCGAUGGGAUUAGCUAGUUGGUGGGGUAACGGCUCACCAAGGCGACGAUCCCUAGCUGGUCUGAGAGGAUGACCGGCCACACGGGAACGGAGACACGGUCCAGACUCCUACGGAAGGCAGCGGUGGGGAAUAUGGCACAAUGGGCGAAAGCCUGAUGAAGCCAUGCCGGGUGUAUGAAGAAGGCCUUCGGGUGGUAAAGUACUUUCAGCGGGGAGGCGGUACCCGAAGAAGAAGCACCGGCUAACUCCGUGCCAGCAGCCGCGGUAAUAC